UCCGGUUUGUCACCGGCAGUCUGCCUAGAGUCCCCAACUUUACUUGCUGGUAACUAGGCACAGGGGUUGCGCUCGUUACGGGACUUAACCCAACAUCUCACGACACGAGCUGACGACAGCCAUGCAGCACCUGUCUCUUGGUUCCUUUCGGCACUCUAUCAUCUCUGAUAAAUUCCAAGGAUGUCAAGGGUAGGUAAGGUUUUUCGCGUUGCAUCGAAUUAAACCACAUGCUCCACCGCUUGUGCGGGCCCCCGUCAAUUUCUUUGAGUUUUAGCCUUGCGGCCGUAAUCCCCAGGCGGAGUACUUAAUGCGUUAGCUUCGCUCCUGAUAAGGAUUCUCCCUACCAACAGCUAGUACUCAUCGUUUACAGCGUGGACUAC
rnacentral:misc_RNA from 1 species